UGUGUGUGUGUGUUUGUUUGUUUGUUUGCUCUUGUGUGAAUCAAGAGGAAGAAUGAGAAGAGAAGAAGUGAAAUUGUAUGAACAAUGUAUGAUUUUAGGAGUGUUCAUCACCUUCUAAGUAUCAAUUUGACUGUUGACAAGCUGGUUGGGAGCUUGGAAAGGAAUAGGUCAAACUGGUCAAAGGCGCGAGGAAGCUCGAACAGACGCAAAGUAAGAAAGGCUUACACCUCCUAUAAUAGAACCACUACUUAUGUGCUAAAAAGUAUUUUGGUUAAUAACAAGGGUUGACAAAGAACCGGAUGCGAUUAGCCGGUUAAAUUU